CAUGCAAGUCGAGCGCGAAUAGGGGCAACCCUUAGUAGAGCGGCGCACGGGUGCGUAACACGUGGAUAAUCUGCCUGGAUGCCCGGGAUAACCAGUCGAAAGAUUGGCUAAUACCGGAUAAGCCCACGGGCUCUUCGGAGCCUGAGGGAAAAGGUGGCCUCUGUAUACAAGCUAUCACAACCAGAUGAGUCCGCGGCCCAUCAGCUAGUUGGCGGGGUAAUGGCCCACCAAGGCGACGACGGGUAGCUGGUCUGAGAGGACGAUCAGCCACACUGGAACUGAGACACGGUCCAGACUCCUACGGGAGGCAGCAGUGGGGAAUUUUGCGCAAUGGGCGAAAGCCUGACGCAGCAACGCCGCGUGUGUGAUGAAGGUCUUCGGAUUGUAAAGCACUUUCGACCGGGACGAAAACCCGUAGCCUAACAUGCUACGGCUUGACGGUACCGGGAGAAGAAGCACCGGCUAACUCUGUGCCAGCAGCCGCGGUAAUACAGAGGGUGCAAGCGUUGUUCGGAAUUAUUGGGCGUAAAGCGCGUGUAGGCGGCGUGACAAGUCGGGUGUGAAAGCCCUCAGCUCAACUGAGGAAGUGCGCCCGAAACUGU
rnacentral:rRNA from 1 species